rnacentral:rRNA from 1 species
GAUGAACGCUGGCGGCGUGCCUAAUACAUGCAAGUCGAGCGAAUGGAUUAAGAGCUUGCUCUUAUGAAGUUAGCGGCGGACGGGUGAGUAACACGUGGGUAACCUGCCCAUAAGACUGGGAUAACUCCGGGAAACCAGGGCUAAUACCGGAUAACAUUUUGAACCGCAUGGUUCGAAAUUGAAAGGCGGCUUUGGCUGUUACUUAUGGAUGGACCCGCGUCGCAUUAGCUAGUUGGUGAGGUAACGGCCCACCAAGGCAACGAUGCGUAGCCGACCUGAGAGGGUGAUCGGCCACACUGGGACUGAGACACGGCCCAGACUCCUACGGGAGGCAGCAGUAGGGAGUCUUCCGCAAUGGACGAAAGUCUGACGGAGCAACGCCGCGUGAGUGAUGAAGGCUUUCGGGUCGUAAAACUCUGUUGUUAGGGAAGAACAAGUGCUAGUUGAAUAAGCUGGCACCUUGACGGUACCUAACCAGAAAGCCACGGCUAACUACGUGCCAGCCGCCGCCGUAA